rnacentral:rRNA from 1 species
CCUACGGGAGACAGCAGUGAGGAAUAUUGGUCAAUGGACGAGAGUCUGAACCAGCCAAGUAGCGUGAAGGAUGACUGCCCUAUGGGUUGUAAACUUCUUUUAUAAAGGAAUAAAACGAGGCACGUGUGCCUUUUUGCAUGUACUUUAUGAAUAAGGAUCGGCUAACUCCGUGCCAGCAGCCGCGGUAAUACGGAGGAUCCGAGCGUUAUCCGGAUUGAUUGGGUUUAAAGGGAGCGGAGAUGGGUUGUUAAGUCAGUUGUGAAAGUUUGCGGCUCAACCGUAAAAUUGCAAUUGAUACUGGCAGUCUUGAGUACAGUUGAGGUAGGCGGAAUUCGUGGUGUAGCGGUGAAAUGCUUAGAUAUCACGAAGAACCCCGAAUGCGAAGGCAGCUUACUAAACUGUGACUGACAUUGAUGCUCGAAAGUGUGGGUAUCAAACAGGAUUAGAUACCCGAGUAGUC